rnacentral:rRNA from 1 species
UGGGGAAUCUUGGACAAUGGGGGCAACCCUGAUCCAGCGAUGCCGCGUGAGUGAAGAAGGCCUUCGGGUCGUAAAGCUCUUUAGGUUGGGAAGAAGUGUAUUAGGUUAAUACCCUGAUAUGUUGACGGUACCGACAGAAUAAGCACCGGCAAACUCUGUGCCAGCAGCCGCGGUAAUACAGAGGGUGCAAGCGUUAAUCGGAUUUACUGGGCGUAAAGGGCGCGUAGGCGGUUAUAUGAGUGUGAUGUGAAAGCCCUGGGCUUAACCUAGGAAGUGCAUCGCAAACGAUAUAACUGGAGUAUAUGAGAGGGUGGUGGAAUUUCCGGUGUAGCAGUGAAAUGCGUAGAUAUCGGAAGGAACAUCGAUGGCGAAGGCAGCCACCUGGCAUAAUACUGACGCUGAGGCGCGAAAGCGUGGGGAUCAAA